AUAUUGUUCCCACUGCCCCACUAGCAUCCUCAGCUGCUGUUUCCCUCCUGAGAAAAGAGAAAGUAUCCUUCCAAGCCACCACUUGCUUUGAUUCUUGGGGAGCAUCCGUUCCAUAGCAUCCUCAUAGCUGCCUGCAAGCAGGUUUGAGCGGCUAGCUAUAAGAACUCCCUGAUCGCAUCCGCUCUUGUUUCUUGCGAUGACCGGAGGGGAUUCCAUGGAUGCGAUCAGCCUGGACGAGUGGGAGCUCCUGCCUGACCUCGGGAGCUCCUUCUUCAUGGAGGAGUGCGCUGCUGGUGGUGGUAAGGAUCAGGAUCAGCCCUUGUUUGGGUCCGGUUUGGUCGUGAUCGACAUGGGCCACUUCACCAUCCACCCUGCAUCUCACCCUUGUACCUACUAUGAUUGCAUCCUAGAUGAAGAAGAGGCCAUGGAAGCACCGGUGCAAGCUGCCUCUACACAGCAGCAGCAUGACGUCGAAUUUGAGGACAUCGGCGUCGUGCAGGCCGAGCCGAGGCGAGUGGAGCUCACGAUGAUGGUGACCGAGGUACUGGUCUCCGGUGCAGAAGAGGAGGAAGAGAUGGCGAACACCCCUGUUGCCGAAGAGGAAGCUGGUGAUGAGGACGAGGUGAUGGUGGAAGCGGCACCUGAUCAUCUACCUCAUGAGGUGGAAGAAGGUGCGGAGAGAGACAGGGCAGGGAUGGACGCUGCUGGCUUCAGCGUCGGGAAACUGAGGGUGAACGGCGUCGGGGCGCUCUGCUCCUUCGGGGUCGCCGCUGCCACCUUGUGCAUCUUGGUGCUUGGCGGCAGGCCGCAGCAUCAGCAGCAGCAGAGGAAGAUUAUGGUGCAAGAUCAGAAGUCCCAGUUCCAGAUGUACGCCGAUGAUGAGAGAAUUCAUCGUGCCGUGGAGCAGGCGUCCAGGCUGAACCAGGCCGUGUCGUCGGUGAUGGGUGGCGCAUCCACCAGGGCGACCGUGUCGUUCGGCGGCCACUACAGCGGGUUCUGACGUGCCAGAAGCUUCUAGAAUCUGUCGACGCAUCCAUGACAUCCUAGUGUUAGGCAUAUUGAUAUUGAGAUUCUUUAUUUACAUUGGUCAGGGCCCCGUAGGCCGUAGCCUGUAUGUGUGCAUGUAUAUAUGCUUGUCUGUCAUGUACUCCGUAUUUCCUACCAGCGGAUGUGAAUAGCAUUAUUUCGGGUUGAAUUUUUUCCCGCGAAAUUACUUCAUCCACUAGGAGAUCCGC
rnacentral:rRNA from 1 species